rnacentral:misc_RNA from 1 species
GAAAUGCGAUACGUAAUGUGAAUUGCAGAAUUCAGUGAAUCAUCGAAUCUUUGAACGCAUAUUGCGCCUUUUGGUAUUCCGAAAGGCAUGCUUGUUUGAGUAUCAGUAACAACCUCAGCCCCAAAGAGCUGGAUUUGAGCAAAUAAUCCCUUAAUCAAACUCUUGAUGCGGGGGAUGCUUGAAAUAAUGGUUCAGGCCCCGGACGAUUGUGGCUACAAGCAUUUCAUACUUAAUCCCGUCGAACGGAUUAUAUCCUUUGCUGAAGCCAACAAAAAGCAAUCACCUCGGUGGACUGACUGAUGCAGGAAAGACGCGUCUUUUUUGGGUUGGUUAGAUUUCGAUCUGAUGAACACGAAAAGACCAAACAAACCUCGAUCUCAAAUCAAGUAAGACUACCCGC